rfam:Brugia malayi, FR3, WGS project CAPY01000000 data, contig: ctg1512051
UGCGUGUCUAAGCUUUGACCAGGGCCUUGUCCAAGACCCGGCGAACAAUUUUUGGCUGCCUUCCCAGGAGGGAGGGCAA